GGGGAACCGAAGUCGCAGACACAGGGACGGCGGGGCGGCGAGGAUUCUCUGGGCCGCACUGCCAGAGACUCUGCUUGGCAAGCGUCUGAUCGAUGCCACUAUUCUCCUCGGACGAAUACCUUCCAGACGCUGCCUUCCUGCCUACCAGUGAGCAUCGGGCACCUCGACGGUCUCAUUCUCCCAUCCUACAAGGUCCAACAUGCAGGGGGAUUUGGGGGUCAGAGGGGAACCAACUGUCCAGAUAUAUGGGCUGGAACAGCAUCAGGGUGGGUGGAAAGGAAUGUGUGAGGACGAUGAGGAAGGUGAUAGAUCCUCCCUUCCCCCAACUGAUGGACAGAGUAUGACGUAAACUCCACCUGCAGCCUGACAUUCCUGAACACCUUAUAUGGACUGUACAUUGAACCACCAAUCAGCACCUGCCAUAUACCCUGAGCCCCCGA